AGUAAGGUGCCUGAUUAAAAGGAUUAUUUUGAUAGAAUAAAUUAUGUAUUUUUACCCUUAUUG
rnacentral:tRNA from 1 species